AAAUUGCACCUGCUUUUCCACCUGCUCUCGCCCCUGGCCUGGGUCCCCACCUGAAUGAGGGCCUGUGGGCUGUCUCAUUCUAGACAGGACAGGACCUGCUGUGUUCAUUGCAGCCUCGAAUGAGGCCCUGGCUGGCUCAGUUUUCUGGAAGAUUCACCUCUUCAUAUGUUAUAGUUUUGAAAAAUGAACUACCUCUCAGUCUUUUCAGAAGGUGUUAUGAUCAGCAGUGAGUGAGGAAUGUUUAGCCAAAUGGUUCUCCUCCACCACGCUUCACAUACCACCUCUGUAAUCAGUGGUUCCUGGUGGCCAAGUCCCUUUACCCCUGCCCUGUGCUCUGCUGACAACCUGUUUUGGAUCCUAAGACCAGAUAGAUAACCAAGCUUAGUACAAUUCUUGAUAAAAUAGGAGAAAAAAGCUCUGCGUUGUUUUUAAGAAAUUUGGUUCUGGUCAAUGAGUCCCCUGGAUAAAUGUGUUAGUUCUCACAUUGUAAUUGACUCUGAGCUUUAAAAAACGUGGGUGCCAAUCCUGUGAACAUCCUGUGCUGAAAGUCACCAAGUAUUUAUUAAGGAACAGUCCCUUCCUCUCCUCUGGUAUGUCAUCUGCUCAUGUAAUUGAUGACGUGGAUGUGAUUAAAACCCUGGGGAUUCUCUUGCCCAGCCACUCACUGUAUUAAGAUGAAAAAUUUCAUGCCUUUCAUUAAAUCAUUUCUUGAAGUUGAUAGUUAGGCAGCCAGGACACCUUGUCCCAGAGAUGGCAAGGACUCUGGGCAGCAAGGAGGUCCAGCCUCAGGAGUUGUCCAGCCCUGAGGAAUAGGUACCCACCAUCCUGGGUGCAGAUACAAGAGCCGGGCAGAGGAAAGAGUCUGUACUUGGGCACAAAUUACAGAAACAAGUAAAGAGCGUGGUGUCCAAGGAGGAGUUUCCGUGACUGGCCCAGUGAUUCUGGCUGUCACACAUUUGUGAGGAAGGGCUGCUUUCCUCAGGAGGACUUGGUUAACCAGCAUCAUUGUUAACACUGAGCCUUCUGUCUCUCAGUUAAGAAUCUCCUUGUCCUCAGAUUUUUUUCUCAGAAAAUAAAGGUGAAAAGUCUUUGCUGAGGCCCAUAAAUGAUUGAGAAUUAGUUCAUAUUAGACGAGGUGUUAAUUCUUGGUGCUGGAAGAGGACAGAAGGUAGAAUAGUGUAAUGGGAGUGUCACUUCCUGCAGGAGGGGAGGAGAAACCUGGGAUACUUACAGUGCAGGGUCAUGUGGGUGGAAUUCAACACUGCAGUCUGUUUCUUGCACUAUUACUAACUGGUUUUUCUCCCUUGUAAGCCAAGAAUGUCUGCAUCAGUUGUCUGUAACUUUGGAAGACUUGCACAAUGGUGUCACCAAGAAACUGGCCCUCCAGAAAAAUGUAAUUUGUGAGAAAUGUGAAGGAGUUGGUGGGAAGAAGGACUCUGUGGAGAAAUGCCCACUGUGCAAGGGGCGAUGGGGAUGCAGGUCCACAUCCAGCAGAUCGGGCCGGGCAUGGUGCAGCAGAUCCAGACUGUGUGUGGAAUGCAAGGGCUAGGGAGAGCGCAUCAACCCCAAGGACCGGUGUGAAACCUGCAGUGGUGCCAAGGUGAUCCGGGAGAAGAAGAUUAUCGAGGUACCUGUGGAGAAAGGUGAGGUGAUAAAGCACGGGGAACUUCGAUGUGUGCGCAAGCGAGGGGAUGCCUAUCUACAAGUCCCCCCUGGAGAAGGGGAUGCUGGUCAUACAGUUCCUAGUGACCUUCCCUGAGCAGCACUGGCUGUCCCUGGAGAAGUUGCCACAGCUGGAAGCCCUGUUACCCCCGGAGGCAGAAGGUGCGGGUCACAGAGGACAUGGAGCAGGCGGAGCUGCAGGAGUUCAGUGCUGGCGAGCAGAGCUGGCGCCCGCAGCGGGAAGCCUAUGAGGAGGAUGAGGAUGGGCCGCGGAGCCGGCGUGCAGUGCCAGGCAGCGUGAUGCAGGGGCGGUGUAACGUUGGCACAAUGAAACGGCGUCCUGUAAUGGCUGUCUGGGGUGUCUUGUGUGUGUUCAGCAUUCUCCACAGCGGAGUGUCUUUGGGUUUCUUUUGCUUUUGUUUUGGUUCUGAUUUAAGUUAAGCUUGGUUCGCAUUUAAAUGUUUUACGUGUUAAUCACCUCAGUCUGCCCAUGGAAUCUGUUUGUCCUCAUCUUCAGGACAGUCCCGGGGAUGCUGGUGACCACGCUGACACUUUGCACUUCAGGUGGCUUUGCUGUUAUUCAGUUCCUGGUAGCACUCAGCCCAGAGCUGCACCCACCCCCUUGCAGGCCGGGAGGCACAGUGGGUAUCUCAGCUGUGUGUGCAGGUGGCUUCUCACCCUGUGCUCUGGCAGUCACCGAAGGCCUGUAUGCAGAGCUGCUGACAGGACAUUUCUGAGUCCAGGUUCAGAUGAGCAUCUUCACAAACAUAGGCAUACACACAGGGCUUUGAGGGCCUGGUCCACGCCCAGCAGGCUGCGUACCCUGGAUGCAGGGUCAGCCUAGUCCCUCGUUCAGUGUCCCCAGAAGGUUGGUGUGGGGCACAAGAGUCUGCUCAUCUCUCCUGGAGAUUCUCUGAACUUCCCAACCCCAUGGGGGGACAGACCACUGUCUUAAGUGAUCUCAGACCCACCAUUUGCCUGUGACCCAGCCCCUGUUCUCUGGUUUUCAUGAUCCUCUGUUGGAACCCCUGCAACCCUGUCCCACCCAAGUGCUUACUUGAAAACAAAACCCUCUCAUAUCCCUGGCAGCCUCAGACAGCAGCAGAAGCCAAGGGUGGACGCUGGUCUGGCCCACAGAUGGUGGGUUCUCCUGCCUGGUGACCCUGGGUGACUUGAAGGAUUGGGAAGGCACAGAUCAUCCCAGUGUCCCUUCCAUGUUCUCUAAGCUGGGCUCCUUCUUGAAGGGUCGUUCCGUACUGCACAGCCAUAUCCCAAAGGGUGUCCUGCUCAGGUGACACUGGUGGGACAGGCACACAAGCAGGCUCUCCUCUGUCGAUUCCUGCUGUCGAUGCCCAGUUCAGGGCACGUUAGCCAUUGCUUCUUUCCUGGCAAGCAGACUACACCUCAAAUCAGCAUUACCUCAACAUCAGGAUAUCACCACUCCUUUCUUUUCAGUCAUGAAGAGAAACCACUACCUUUGAGUGUCAGGUGCACCUUUGUCUGGUAAUACGAUGCUCAAGUCAAACCCAGACAAAGACACCCAGGAGGGCCACAGGAGAGGCCACGGGGUGACCAGGCUUUAGGAGCACUGCUGGCUGGUGGGACACAGCUGGUCCAGUACAGAGAACCCACCUGUGCCUGCCUCAACUGCUGGCCAGGAAACUUAGAACCAAUUCUUCCAACCAAGCCUACAUGAAAAUCAACUUAUAGGGCUGGGAAUUUAGCUCAGUGGUUUCACCAAGGACCCAAGUUCGAUCCCCGGUACCAAAAAAAAAAAAUCAACUUAUAAAUGGACCACCACUCCAGGGUGCUGCUCCUGUGCUGUGGCUUCCUGAUAAAUGAUUGCUAGAGAACUAUUGUUUAUUGCUGAGGGAGCAAAAUUACACUUGGCUCUUUCCUGUCACAUACAUGGCUUCUGGAGGGUGUUGCUUCAAAUUUUAUUCCACCUCUACAUCUGUCACUUUAAAAUUAAAAAUGAAGCUGCUAUGAGAGAC
rnacentral:lncRNA from 1 species